AGUGGCGGACGGGUGAGUAACGCGUGGGUAACCUGCCUCAUACAGGGGAGUAACAGUUAGAAAUGACUGCUAAUACCGCAUAAGACCACAGCACCGCAUGGUGCAGGGGUAAAAACUCCGGUGGUGUGAGAUGGACCCGCGUCUGAUUAGGUAGUUGGUGGGGUAACGGCCUACCAAGCCGACGAUCAGUAGCCGACCUGAGAGGGUGACCGGCCACAUUGGGACUGAGACACGGCCCAA
rnacentral:rRNA from 1 species